rnacentral:lncRNA from 1 species
CUUGACUCCCGCUAAUUUUCAUUGAUUUAUGGGGCUUGAAAGCAUUUAUUUUCUGCUCAGAGGCAGCCCAGCUCCUGCUAAGGAGGUGCAGGACUCCCCUAAAUGCUGUCACCAUGGAGAGGCGAGCAGCAGAGGUGGCUCUCAGGGCAACAGCUACAUUUCCUGCUCAGUUCCAGUUGCUACCUAAGAGCUGGGAGGGUCCAAUGGGAGCUGCUGGCCCUGCUGUGACAGCCUCCCCACUCCUGUCCCCAGAGCCUGCCUGCUUCUGGUCACAGCUACUUGAGUUUAACACUCCUGGCAGCUUAGCACUCUGGUUUUUAUGUGUGAAGCCGUAAUAUUUGGUGAGCUGUGAGAUGAGGUGGCAAGAUUUGCAACUGGCAUUCCCUUCCGGCCCUGCCCUGUGAUUCAGGCUUCAGGCCCAUGAGGACCUCCUGGACUAAGAGCCAGUCUCACUGCCACCUGUCAGAGCCUUCUUCAAGGGAGUAAACAGAGGGGCAGGACUCACCUCACUUCGUGCUGCCAGGGCUAGAGCUAUCCUUUCUCCCCACUCCAUUCCCACCUUGCUGGGUGAGCCUGCAGUUUUUCCAAGGCAGGGCCAGCCUGUCCUGUGCUGCAAGAUGUAUUAAUCAAUUUGAUGGGGAUGUUAAAGCUUUCUCUUUGCAACUAAUUAUGGCCUGAUUUAUAGGCCUGGCCUUGGUUUGAUAGAGCUCUCCUCAUGACAGGGAUGAAUGUGGUACUGGCAUGGACCCCUUCAUCUCUUCCAUUUCUCUCUCUUCCUCCCUCCUCCCUCCCUCCCACGGCUCCUGCCUCCUGCCUCUGCUCUUGGUUCCCACAGGAACACCCUAAUGACAUGUUGACAAGCUAGUGAAGCAUGGCUCCCUCUCUGUUGCAUCUGCCUCUGGCACCACCAUUCCUCCUGUAUUCUCUGACAUGGGCAGAUGGGUGCUGUGCUGGAGGAAGCUCUGUACACCCUUUCCUUCUGGAAACAAGAAACAAUAAAAAUAUUUUGGGUUGAUGCAGCAUCUUCCUUCCCAAACAUUCCAAGAGCUUGUUGAAAUAAACUUUAUCCCUGAUGGAACUUCCAGCCACAUCCUGCUCCUCCCUCACAUGGAAACAGGCAGCACCUAGGCCAUCAUCUGCUCAGACUUUCCUUCAGAGGAAAAGAGAAACCACAAACAGCUGCCGUGUGGGCCCUCCUGCCAGAUUCCGGAUUCCAGCUCAGACCACGGAUCUCGAUGACUUCAUUGGUAUCUGAGCUGGAACUCUCUUCUCCAGGGACAGAGAGGCCGCCAGCAUCCCUGCAGAGCCCCCAGAAAAAGAGGAAGCUGCAUGGUGGGUUCACACCUGGGCCAGUACAAAAAGGUCAUGCUUGGAGAGAUACACCAAGAUCUCCACCUGAGGGCUGAGUCCUGGCCCAGGGCUUGCUUCACUAGUUGGCAGCCUGGGGUGAGUCCCUCUCCCCACCUCCACCCUGCCCCUUCAAAAAGCCUGUUGCUCAUUGAAUCAAAAGACAUUCCUAAGUGAGAGUCUCAUUCCCUUUCAUCUGGAUCCAAAUGGAAAUGCAAAUACCAUGGGACAGAAUGUGCCUCUGUGGGAAUGAAUUUAUCAGACCCUGUCCACAGCAGUUUUGCUGAAAGAGAAAUUUAGUUUUUCUGAGAGAGCCUGGUGAGGCAAUGGAGUUAAGGGGCCAAAUGGUUCAAAACUUCUACAAGGUUAGUGCUGGAGGGGAAGCUUCAGCAAUCAUGAGCCAGACUCCUCCUGUUGCAGAUGAGGAAACCAAAGCCCAGAGAGGAGUGUCUUUCACAGCAUCAUACAGCAAGUUAAUAUGGCUUAGGAUGCUAGAACUUAGGUGUCCCGACUCUAAGCCUGGUGCCAGUUGCAGAAAACAAAAGCCCAAGGCCUGAAAGAUAAACUUGGCCUCCUUCAAAAUCUGAUGGGGGCUGGCACUUUCUGCCUUCAGAAUAUUUGUUUCCACCAGGAGUGAAUCUCAGUUCUUGGCUGUGAGCAGUUGCAGAGGUCACAUGAGUGGACAAAAAAGGAAUGUGAGUGAGAAGGGAGAUGGGGUGAAGAUCUUCCUGAACAAUGACUUAGCGAGGACAAGUCUGAAUCUCCAACUUCAUCAGACUCUGUGAACGGUGUUAAAUCUUGACUUAGGGGCUAUGGGCUUUUGCCUCUCUUUGUAGCCACAGUUGCCCAAAGAGAACUAGUAAUGCUGUUAUCUUCAGAUGCAAAGGAUAACACAUUAGUAAAUUAUUCCUUGCUUAUACUUCUAAUGUCACAUUCCCCUUGUCUUAUAGUUGUUUUGUGAUGAAAGAAACUAAUGGGAUCUUAGAAUCAGACCUGGGUUACAUGGCUUAAACUUUUUAAAAAAAAUUUAAUUGUGGUAAAAUAUGCAUAACAUAAAAUUCACCAUCUUAAUGAUUGUUAAGUGUAUAGUUUAGCAGUGUUAAGUAUAUUGACGUUAUAUUGCAACCUUUUUUCAUCUUGAACAACUGAAGCUGUACCCAUUAAACAACGGUUCCUCAUUCUCCAUUCCCUUUCAGUCCCUGACAACCACCACUCUACUUUCCAUCACCAUGAAUUUGAUGACUCAUGAGUGGAACCACACAGUAUUUGUCCUUUUGUGAAUCACUUAUUUCACUUAGCAUAAUGUCCUCACAAGGUUCAUUCAUGUUGUAGCACAUGUCAAAAUUUCUUUCCUUUUUUUUUUUUUUUUUUUUUUGAGAUGGAGUCUCAUGCUCUUUCCCCCAGGCUGGAGUGCAGUGGCAUGAUCUGGGCUCAUUGCAACCUCCGCCUCCUGGGUUCAUGCCAUUCUCCUGCCACAACCUCCCGAGUAGCUGGGACUACAGGUGUGCGCCACCACGCCCAGCUAAUUUUUUGUAUUUUUAGUAGAGACGGCGUUUCACCAUGUUAGCCAGGAUGGUCUCGAUCUCCUGACCUCAUGAUCUGCCUGCCUCGGCCUCCCAAAGUGCUGGGAUUACAGGCGUGAGCCACCAUGCCCGGCCUUCAAUUUCUUUCCUUUUUAAGGCUGAAUAAUAUUCCAUUUUAUGGAUAUGCCACAUUUUGUUUAUCUAUUUAUCCACUGAUGGACACUUGGGUUGCUUCCACUUUUUGGCCAUUGUGAAUAAUGCUGCUAUGAACAUGGGUGUACAGAUAUCUUUUUGAGACCCUGACUUCCUCAAUUCUUUUGGAUAUAUAUCCAGAAGUAGAACUGGUGAAUCCUAUGGUAGUUCUAUUAUCAAGUUUUGGAAGAAUAACCAUACUGUUGGCUUAAACUUAUUGGGCUUUUAUUUUCCUCAUCUAUAAAGUAGACUUGAGGUUGUUGUGAGUAUUAAAGAAAUCAUGUGCAUAAAGCUCUUGGCUCAAUGCCUGGUACAUGGUUGAAAUUUAAGAACUGGUUGUUUCCUAUGAACUCUUGAAGACAGAGACUGUUUCAUUUCGGUAUCUAACCAUUUAGCAUGGCGCCAGACAUAUAGUAGGGGUUCACUAUAUGACUGUUAGUGAAUGAAUGAAUAAUGAACAAACAUAUCCUUGUAACUUUGAAGUAUGGCCGGGAGCAGUGGCUCAUGCCUGUAAUCCCAGUACUUUGGGAGGCUAAGGCAGGCGGAUCACCUUAGGUCAAGAGUUCGAGGCCUGGCCAACAUGGCGAAACCCUGUCUCUACCAAAAAUACAAAAAUUAGCUGGGCAUGGUGGCAGGCACCUGUAAUCCCAGCUACUUGGGAAGCUGAGGGAGGAGAAUCACUUGAACCUGGGAGGCAGAGGUUGCAAUGAGCCGAGAUCGUGCCAUUGCACUCCAGCCUGGGAGACAAGAGCGAGACUCCAUCUCAAAAAAAAAAAACAAAAAAAACCUUUGAAGUACAUAGAAUAAUUCCUGCACAUUGUGGGUGUUUAAUAAAUUUCAAAUGAAUGCAUGUAAUAAUCCUAUAUGAAGCCUACUUCUUCUGCAUCCUACUUCAUGAGAAAAGGAAUUUGCUCAUGUCCCUAAAGUUCCUGAAGGACAAUUCAGAAUCAAGUAUUUGACCUACUCCCAACUUUCUGGGGAUCCUCCUCUUUCACCAUUCAUGGCAAAUUCUACUGUGCAAGGGAUACAAAGGAGGAAGAUCUCCAUGUGAGAGUAACCGAGCACUUCAGUCUGCACUGUGCUUGCUAAGUUUUCUCUCUUUCUACCAUGUUCACAGAACACUUGCUGUGAGCUCCAAAGCAUGUUGAAGAGCGGGGCUGUCCAUGUUGAAUCCUGUUAGUCAUGCAGCUGAGGGAAUUCCAAUCACCUGACCCGGGUCUGACCGCAGUUACCAGUCUCAAGUCUGAGCAGCGUCUCCAGUGCUGGGCUGCCUUCUUGACUCCAGGAGGCAUGCCUGCUCUUACAAUGAAACUCAAGUCUUUUUUUUUCCUUCCCACAAGUUUGGCUUCUACUUUUCUAAGUGCUGUUCAUCAUAUACUCUGUGUUGUAAGUACUCAGCUCUCUAGCAUCUCUUUAUACUACCUUUUAUUCUUCUGGAAUAUCCUUCCUUCCCACCCACAAGCAUAUUAGGCAAAACUUGCCCACCGUGGUAACUGGAAACAGGACUGAGGGGAAGGAAAACUCUCUCCCAGGUGCAUGGAGUGGGAACUCAUUUAGGGCAUCUUUAGUGCCAUACAUAGAACCUGGAAUACAAUAGGAGCUCAAUUAAUACAUGUUAAAUGGAUAAAUAUUGGUUAAAUGCAUCAUGUUUCUAUACAAUUCUCUUUAAACUAUAAACUCCCCAAGCACAAAGUUAAGAACUAUGUCUCUCUUAUCAGACAAGAUGCCUCCUAACCCAGAUUAUACAGGAGCAUUGUGAGGGCAAGCCCAUGCCAACUCCACAUUCUGUGAGCUCCCAAAACUCCACCAAGGACCUUGCUUAAUGAUGACUUAGACCAGGGUUUCUCGACCUCAGCAUUAUUG